rnacentral:rRNA from 1 species
UACGAAGGGGGCUAGCGGUGUUCGGAAUCACUGGGCGUAAAGCGCACGUAGGCGGAUUUGCCAGUCAGGGGUGAAAUCCCGGGGCUCAACCUCGGAACUGCCUUUGAUACAGCAAAUCUCGAGCCCGGAAGAGGUGGGUGGAAUUCCUAGUGUAGAGGUGAAAUUCGUAGAUAUUAGGAAGAACACCAGUGGCGAAGGCGGCCCACUGGUCCGGUGCUGACGCUGAGGUGCGAAAGCGUGGGGAGCAAACAGG